rnacentral:rRNA from 1 species
GAUGAACGCUGGCGGCGUGCCUAAUACAUGCAAGUCGAGCGAACAGACGAGGAGCUUGCUCCUCUGACGUUAGCGGCGGACGGGUGAGUAACACGUGGAUAACCUACCUAUAAGACUGGGAUAACUUCGGGAAACCGGAGCUAAUACCGGAUAAGAUAUUGAACCGCAUGGUUCAAUAGUGAAAGACGGUUUUGCUGUCACUUAUAGAUGGAUCCGCGCCGCAUUAGCUAGUUGGUAAGGUAACGGCUUACCAAGGCAACGAUGCGUAGCCGACCUGAGAGGGUGAUCGGCCACACUGGAACUGAGACACGGUCCAGACUCCUACGGGAGGCAGCAGUAGGGAAUCUUCCGCAAUGGGCGAAAGCUUGACGGAGCAACGCCGCGUGUGUGAUGAAGGUCUUCGGAUCGUAAAACUCUGUUAUUAGGGAAGAACAAAUGUGUAAGUAACUAUGCACGUCUUGACGGUACCUAAUCAGAAAGCCCCGGCUAACUACGUG